UGAUUUGAUGUUAGGAAGGCAAAUCCGCCGAAUUUAAGCAUAUAAUUAAGCGGAAGAAAAGAAAAUAACAAUGAUUUCUUUAGUAACGGCGAGUGAACAAGAAAAAGCUCAAGGAGAUAAUUCUAUAUCGUAGUUGUAAAAAGACUAUGUGUAUAGAAAUUGUUCUGUUAUAAGGAAGAAGUAAUCUGAGAAUAUAUGGGAUUUAUAUAUAUAUUUAGUUAUCGAAAUAAGUAGGAAUACUUUCCCAUAGAGGGUGAAAGGCCCGUAGUUAAUAAAUAUAUAAAGUUCUUUUUUUUUGGAUAAUUUUUUUUUUAAAGAGUAGUGCUCUUUGAGAUUGGAGUACAAAGAUGUGUGAUACAUUUCACAUAAGGCUAAAUAUAUAUAGGAGACCGAUAGGAAACAAGUACCGUGAGGGAAAGAUGAAAUAGUACUCAGGAAUGAGCAGUUAAAUAGUACCUGAAAUCGUUAAGGUGGAACGGAUUAAGAAAGGAAAAUGUAAGAAGAUAGUAAAUAUUACUCGGCGAGUUUUAUUAAGAUACGAUUUUUUUAUAAAAAGAAACAUGAGUGAACGAGAAUAAAUUAUAAUAUAAUUAUAUUAGAUAGGUAUAGAAUAGAUACACAGGACUAAGGGGGGAGGAGUAGUAAGAAAAAGGGUGCAGUGUAAAAGGGUUAUGCUUGUAUGUUUGAGUAUUCACUGCUUCUUUUUUUUUUUUUCUGUAAUUUUAUAUCUAUUUAAUUAAAGUAUCCUUAGCUAAUAAUAAUUUAUGAAGGAAGAACUUAAUUUAUAUGAGUUUUAAAAGGCAUGAUUAUAUUGUAUAUUAUAUGAUAUAUAUAUAAUUAUGUUUUAACCGAAAUGCGUAUAAUUAUUCUGUUUACUGAGGAAAGAGGUAAACAAUAGUGUGAACUAAGAAUGGGAUAUUUCUUUUUUCUGAUUGUAAGUUGUUUUUAAAUAGUACUUUUUUAACCCACUCGUCUUGAAACACGGACCAAGGAGUCUAACAAAUGUGCGAGCGUAUGUGAUAUGAAUAAAAACAUAUAUAAAUUUUUAGUUACGCGUAAUUAAUGUGAAUUUUUUGUGGAUGCGCCGGACAAUAGUGCAUUUGGUUUCUGGCUUGCAAACAAUACCGAUAAGCAAUAAGAUAAUUAAGUUUAUUUGAGUAUGAGUACAUUUGUUAGGACCCGAGAGGCUUUGAACUAAGCGUGAUGAGAUUGAAGUCAGACGAAAGUCUGAUGGAGGAUCGAGUUGAUACUGACGUGCAAAUCGUUCAUUACAAUCACGUUUAGGGGCGAAAGACUAAUCGAAAAGCCUAUUAGCUGGUUAUUUUCGAAAGAUCUCUCAGGAUCGCUGGAGUUGAGUUGAUUAUAAUUUUAUAAGGUAGAGACAAUGAUUAGAGGGUUUAGGGGAUUAAAUAUUUCUUAACCUAUUCUCAAACUUCCAAUAUGUAAAGAGGGUGCGAUAUCUGAAAAGUAUUUCACUUUGGCGUAAAUAAGAUAACUCCAAGUGGGCCAUUUUUGGUAAGCAGAACUGGCGAUGAGGGAUGCUCCUAACGCCUGGAUAAGGUGCCUAAAUAUUCGCUCAUGAGAUCCCAUAAAAGGUGUUGGUUCAUAAUGACAGUAGGACGAUGGUCAUGGAAGUCGAAAUUCGCUUAGGAGUGUGUAACAACUCACCUACCGAAUGAACUAGCCCUGAAAAUGGAUGGCGCUAAAGCGAAUUACCGAUACCGGGCCAUAAGAAGGUAGAAAUUAUAAAUGUUAAUUUAGCUCAGAUCUUUUUAUGAGUAGAAAAUCGUGGGGUUUGUGUUGAAGCGAAAUACGUGAGUUUUCGUGGAACAUCUCCCUAGUGCAGAUCUUGGUGGAAGUAGCAACUAUUCAAAUGAGAACUUUGAAGACUGAAGUGGAGAAGGGUUUCUUGUCAACUAUGUUUGUACAAGAGUUAGCCACUCCUAAGGGAUAGCUGAAAAGUGUUUAAAAGAAGUAAGAUAUUAUAUGGAAAUAUAUAAUUAGAUCUUCGUCUCAAAAGGGAAACAGGUUAAUAUUCCUGUGCCAAAUAGAAGUAAGGGUGUGAAUAAAGAAAGAUGGUAACAUACAUACAAAUGAACUCCUUGACAUAGGUUUUACGCUCGGGGUGCGUUAUCUUUGCACUUUAAUUUUAUAGCAAACCUUGGAAUCAAUUUAUUUGGAGAAGAGGUUUGUUGAACUCAAUUCAAAAAAUUUAUGGCUGGGGUUUCGGAUUCAGUUCAUUUUAUUUUUUGUUUUGUAGCAAUAGUAAUUCGUUUUUAUGAAUUAUCCGAAGUGGUAAAAACUAUCCUUGAAAAAAGGAGGGAACGGAGCAUAUACAGAAGGGAAUUUAAUUAUUUUUUUUUUUGAGUUACCUUCUUAUGUGAAAUACUCUUAUAUUCAAUCAAUAAUGAGUGUACCAAUAACCGCAUCAGGUCUCCAAGGUUAGUAGCCUCUGGUUAAAUAGAAAAAAGUAAGUAAGGGAAGUCGGCAAAAUAGAUCCGUAACUUCGGGAAAAGGAUUGGCUCUGAGGACAUUAGAAAAGAGAAGAAAAAAAAGGGGGUUGAAAAUAAAAUUACAGAUUUAUUUGCUUUAUCUUUUCGAUUUGGUUGUAAAUUUGUUUUUCGUUUUUCUUCUUUGUUUUUAUUCUGUUCCUGUUUUCGCUUUCAUUUUAUUGUAAUUUUAGUUACUUAAAUUUUUUGAUAUAUAUAAUGUUAACUCAGAACUGAAACGGACAAGGGGAAUCCGACUGUUUAAUUAAAACAUAGCAUUGUGAAAAACCAUAACUGGUAUUAACACAAUGUGAUUUCUGCCCAGUGCUUUGAAUGUUAAGUUGAUGAAAAAUUCAAUUAAGCGCAGGUAAACGGCGGGAGUAACUAUGACUCUCUUAAGGGAGCCAAAUGCCUCGUCAUCUAAUUAGUGACGCGCAUGAAUGGAUUAACGAGAUUCCCACUGUCCCUACUUGCUAUCUAGCGAAACCACAGCCAAGGGAACGGGCUUGGCAAAAUCAGCGGGGAAAGAAGACCCUGUUGAGCUUUACUCUAGUCUGGCUUUGUGAAACGACUUAGAAGGUGUAGUAUAAGUGGGAGUACAAAGAAGGGAUCGAAAACUAAUUCGAUCUUUAUGUUUUUGUACACAAAUGAAAUACCACUACUUUUACAGUUGUUUUACUUAUCUAUUAAUAGGGAAAUAUAUUAUGCUUUAAUUCUUUGUGAAAAAGGCAUUCUGAUAUUAUUUGAAUUUUUAAGAAACUUGUUUCUUAUAUUUCUCCCAUUUCU
rnacentral:ncRNA from 1 species